GUUAUAGUACCACGACAGACACCAUCUCUGACCUACAGGAACUUUGAAUAAUUCUGUUUAUGUGCUGGAGGCGCACGUGUGUUGUGUGGAUAGAUAUAUAAAUUCAGUAUAUACAGAGAAAUUUGGGGCGCCUGGCUGGCUCAGUCGGUUAAGCCACCGACUUCAGCUCGGGUCGUGAUCUCGAUGUUCCUGAGUUCAAGACCCCUCUGCGCUGACACCGCAGAGCCUGGAGCCUGUUUCAGAUUCUGUCUCCCUCCCUCUCUGCCCCUCCCCCGCUCACGCUCUGUCUCUCCUUCUAAAAUAGAUAUUAUAAAAAAAAUCUAAAAAAUGUACUGAGAAAGUGUACGAUGUAUAGUUCUGAAGUAAAUUGUUUCCUUAGAAAGUCCAGCCUGCUGCUGGACUAGUUUUCUAUUUUAUGCUCUGCAUAUUGACGAGGUUCCGAGUUCUGUGAACUAGCUUUUUCUAAGAUGUGGCUAUUAAAAGUCUUCCUUAAUUCAAAAAAGUUCUGCCAUAGCAGCCCGCAGUAGGCCUUUGUAUCUGCGUUACUAACAAUAAAUCCAGGGGUGCCUGGCUGCUCAGUCCGAAGAGCAUGCGACUCUUGAUCUCUGGGGGUCCUCAGUUCAAAGAGCAUGCGACUCUUUUGAUUUCGGGGGUCGUGAGUUUGAGCCCCACUUUGGGUGUAAAGAUUACUUUCAAAAAAUUUUUUAAUACAAUAAAAACAAAAACAUAACGAAUCCAAGUCCAAGACAAUGUCACCUUUAAAUCCUACAAACAUUUUUAAAAGCUUUUGCCUUAGCUAUCUCACAUCCCUCAGGAUAGCUCUUAGAUAGGCAAAGGGCCAAGUGGGGCCUCUGAAAAUUAAGUUAGGCCAGGGUCACCCUGGCUAUUAGCAGUAAAGCCAGGAUUAAAUUCAGACGCAGACUUUUUUUUUUUUUUCUAUUAGCUUAAUUUAAAUAUAAGGUCUUUUCUUCUAGGAUGUAAAGUGAAGAGACGAUAGGCGUCGUCUCCCCUCCUCCCUCUUCCGACCCAGUCAGUGGAUCUCAUUCCCGCGCUGCAGUUAAUCUAGCACCAUCAUCAACUAGACUUGGAAGAGAACCUCAGGAAAUUCUUUGAGGGCAAGAAAUACAAGUCCCUGGAUCUGUGGUCCAAGAAGACACAUACCAUGUGCUGUGACUUAACCGGCACCGGGAGAACCUGAAGACCAAGUAGCAGCAGCAGCAGCAGCAGCAGCAGCAGGAGUGCUACAGAAGAUGAGGAAAUGGAGGUACAGAGGGGCAAAACAGCUUGUUAAAAGUCAUCCUGUUGGUAAGUAGUAAAGCCAAGAUUUGAACCUUGAGAGAUGAGCCCCAGGUUGUAUUUAAUACCUCUGCCCUAUCUUGCCUCUAGUUCCUUGCUGCCUUUCACCUAGCUUCACCUUUGGCUUCAUGCCCAGAUCAAGAUUUCCCUAAUUUCUUCAUUCAGGCCUCAUUACAGCCACUUUGGCAAGCACUGCUUUCCAACACCAAAGGAAAAUAUCAAUAGACUUCCCAGUUUUUUCUGAUGUAGGAAAGGCAAAGUGAAGUCAUGGAAUAAGGUACCAACCUCUUCAGCUUUCAGGUGGCAGAGGAGGGGAACAUAAGUCAACCUUGCUGUGUUUCCCAGAUUAUUACCUCAGCAGAUGAACAAAUAAAACUUGCUUGAUGAGCUUCCUCAAAUCAAGUGGGUCAAAGACAUGAACAGAAAAUUCAAAAAAGAGGCCAAUAUUUUUAUCUAAAAAAAUCAACCUUAGCUAGAUUCAUUCUUAUUUAAUUUUUUGCUUUGAGAUUGGCAAACUUUAAAAAAGAUGUGGCUGAUGUGAGGGGCAUGAGGGAUAGUAAGAAGGUAGGAGGAGGAAUGCUGAAUUAUAGAUUCUGGUGAGGUUGAAGUAAUGUUGGAGUUGUGUGAAAGUGAAUGGACUGGAAGGACAGGAGGUAGUGAUCAGAAGAUGGGAUUUUAAAAUUGAGAAUGUAGAGAAUUUGAACUUACUGAUAAUUUAGGACUAAGGCUAUAGCACCAUAGUCCAAUAAAAAUAUAAUGUGAUUCACGUAUGACAUAUUUUGGUGAGAUAUUUAAAUUCGUUUUUUACAUAGUAAUUCUUCAAAACUUGUGUAUUUUACACUUAACAACACAGCUUUAAAAAA